rnacentral:rRNA from 1 species
GAGAGGGUAGUGGAAUUCCCAGUGUAGCGGUGAAAUGCGUAGAUAUUGGGAGGAACACCAGUGGCGAAGGCGACUACCUGGACGAUAACUGACGCUGAGGCACGAAAGCUAGGGGAGCAAACAGGAUUAGAUACCCUGGUAGUCCUAGCCGUAAACGAUGGGUACUAGGUGUGGGUGGUUUCGAUACCAUCCGUGCCGUAGUUAACGCAUUAAGUACCCCGCCUGGGGAGUACGUGCGCAAGCAUGAAACUCAAAUAAAUUGACGGGACCUGUGCCC